rnacentral:rRNA from 1 species
CGAACGCUGGCGGCGUGCUUACCACAUGCACGUCGAACGGAAAGGCCCUGCUUUUGUGGGGUGCUCGAGUGGCGAACGGGUGAGUAACACGUGAGUAACCUGCCCUUGACUUUGGGAUAACUUCAGGAAACUGGGGCUAAUACCGGAUAGGAGCUCCUGCUGCAUGGUGGGGGUUGGAAAGUUUCGGCGGUUGGGCAUGGCCUCGCGGCUUAUCCGCUUUUUGGUGGGGUAGUGCCUUACCAAGGCGUUGGCGGGUAGCCGGCCUGGGAAGGUGACCGGCCACAUGGGGACAGGGAUGCGGCCCAGAGGCCUACGGGAGGCAGCAGUGGGGAAUAGUGGAAGAUGGGCGGAAGCAUGAUGGAGGAACGCCGCGUGGGGGAUGACGGCUUUCGGGUGGUAAAACGCUUGGGCGUGAGACGAAGCGUGAGUGAGGGUAAUGGGUAAAGAAGCACGGGCUAACUACGU